rnacentral:tRNA from 1 species
CGUGGCCUAAUGGAUAAGGCGUCUGAUUUCUAAUCAGAAGACUACCGGUUCGACCCCUUCG